GACAGAGGGUGCAAACGUUGUUCGGAAUUACUGGGCGUAAAGCGCGUGUAGGCGGCCCUGCAAGUCGGAUGUGAAAUCCCACGGCUCAACCGUGGAAGUGCAUUCGAAACUGCAGGGCUAGAGUCCUGGAGAGGAAGGUGGAAUGCUUGGUGUAGAGGUGAAAUUCGUAGAUAUCAAGCGGAACACCGGUGGCGAAGGCGGCCUUCUGGACAGUGGACUGACGCUGAGACGCGAAAGCGUGGGGAGCAAACAGGG
rnacentral:rRNA from 1 species